rnacentral:lncRNA from 1 species
UUAAAGUGGUGUUUAAUGUAAAAAAAAACAACACAAAAAGUCGAAAUGAUCGUAACGUUAUCGCGAUGCAUGAUGUUAAACCUAUAUUUUUGACGUUUUUUACUACCAGCUAAUGAACAGUUUAAUCAUUAGACAAACAAACAAAGAGUCGAGGACCAUAUGAUUAUUUGAUAUCAUGUAAUGUUAACCUAAUUUGAAAGAAUUCAAUCAGUAAGAUUUCAGAUAAUAAAAGAGAUACGUGUAUUUCAAUUAGUUUAACGAACCAAGGUUGUGUGCAAAAUUUUAGAAAAAUCUGUGACAUAGCCUAUUUACUGUUCCUUGACCUUAAGUUACAUCCAUGCAUGUCAUAUGGCUAACUUUAUAUGAGUAAUUACUUUUUCUUUCCUUUGAGUUAUCAUUUAGUUUUAAAAUUUUGAUAAAAAAAAGAAUUUAAAUACUUAAAGCGAUGUCUUAUUACCAUGAUGACAUAUCAACUUCAAAUGAUAAUCGUUGGCUCAUUGUUUUAUAUCAAAAUGCGUAUUAUUUGUACAGUUCGGAUUUUCUUUUACCGUAACCAUGUCUUAUAAAAAUUAUUAGAGGAACGUUGACCAUGAUCUAACAAAAGUUACAAAGACAUAGUAAUAUGAUAUUUCAUUAUAGAUUAAACAUUUGAUUAAAAAGCUAUUUACAUAGAAUACAAAGCGUAAUUAUAAGUUUCAAAGACAAUGCAAUAACAAACAAAAACUUAUGUAGUAAAAAAUCAAAUAAUAGAAUAAGCGUAUUUACAUGAAGGCACUAAACAUAAUUGUGCAAUAUUGUCCGAACUCGUUUCUAUAAAACGCCAAGUAACUUCUCAAACAUAUUUGAAGUUGGAAAGACAUUCAAUAAUAGCUAUUAAAAACAAACUAGAG